rfam:Mustela putorius furo unplaced genomic scaffold scaffold00051, whole genome shotgun sequence.
ACUAUCUCUCCCACUCUAUCAACCAGCACACAACCUUUAGAGGGUUGAUUCGGCUGAUCUUGUUGGCUAAGCAUGUAUCCCCUUCCUCCCUCACUACUCCAUGUGCAUCCCUCCCAAAGUGGCACACUAGGUGGAAAAAGAUGACUUACUCCAUAGAGAAGGAACAUUCUUCAGUCAAGGUAUAUGAGUAGCUACAUUCCCAUUGUAGAACCACCAAACAAACUCUCAGCAUCAUCUGUAGAAGAAUGUAGGGUAGUCAAGUUUCCAAGACUCCAGACACAUCUAAAUGAGGGGCUGCAUGUGGCAUUCUGCCUUUCAAA